GCGCAACCCUUAUUGUUAGUUGCCAUCAUUCAGUUGGGCACUCUAGCAAGACUGCCGGUGACAAACCGGAGGAAGGUGGGGAUGACGUCAAAUCAUCAUGCCCCUUAUGACCUGGGCUACACACGUGCUACAAUGGGAAGUACAACGAGUCGCGAAGUCGCGAGGCUAAGCUAAUCUCUUAAAGCUUCUCUCAGUUCGGAUUGCAGGCUGCAACUCGCCUGCAUGAAGCCGGAAUCGCUAGUAAUCGCGGAUCAGCACGCCGCGGUGAAUACGUUCCCGGGCCUUGUACACACCGCCCGUC
rnacentral:rRNA from 1 species